AUUGAACGCUGGCGGCAUGCCUUACACAUGCAAGUCGAACGGCAGCGCGGGUGCUUGCACCUGGCGGCGAGUGGCGAACGGGUGAGUAAUAUAUCGGAACGUGCCCUAGAGUGGGGGAUAACGUAGCGAAAGUUACGCUAAUACCGCAUACGAUCUACGGAUGAAAGGGGGGGAUCGCAAGACCUCAUGCUCCUGGAGCGGCCGAUAUCUGAUUCGUUAGUUGGUGGGGUAAAGGCCCACCAAGGCGACGAUCCGUAGCUGGUCUGAGAGGACGACGAGCCACACUGGGACUGGGACACGGACUAGAGUCCUCCGGGAGGCAGCAGUGGGGAAUUUUGGACAAUGGGGGCAACCCUGCUCCGGCAAUGCCGCGUGAGUGAAGAAGGGCUUCGGGUUGUAAAGCUCUUUUGUCAGGGAAGAAACGGUCUGGGUUAAUACCCUGGGCUAAUGACGGUACCUGAAGAAUAAGCACCGGCUAACUACGUGCCAGCCGCCGCCGUAACAC
rnacentral:rRNA from 1 species